UACGAGAGGCGCAAACGUUAUUCGGAUUUACUGGGCUUAAAGAGUUCGUAGGCGGCGCAGAAAGUAGGGUGUGAAAGCCCUCGGCUCAACCGAGGAAUUGCGCUCUAAACUACUGUGCUUGAGGAACCUAGAGGUGAGCAGAACUGAUGGUGGAGCGGUGAAAUGCGUUGAUAUCAUCAGGAAUACCGGAGGCGAAGGCGGCUCACUGGGGGUUUUCUGACGCUGAGGUGCGAAAGCGUGGGGAGCAAACAGG
rnacentral:rRNA from 1 species